rnacentral:rRNA from 1 species
CACCUGUCCUUAGUUACCAGCACGUUAUGGUGGGCGACUCUAAGGAGACUGCCGGUGGACAAACCGGAGGAAGGUGGGGAUGACGUCAAGUCAUCAUGGCCCUUACGGCCUGGGCUACACACGUGCUACAAUGGUCGGUACAAAGGGUUGCCAAGCCGCGAGGUGGAGCUAAUCCCAUAAAACCGAUCGUAGUCCGGAUCGCAGUCUGCAACUCGACUGCGUGAAGUCGGAAUCGCUAGUAAUCGUGAAUCAGAAUGUCACGGUGAAUACGUUCCCGGGCCUU